CGCGGCUUUGUAGCUCAACUGGUUAGAGCGAGCGACUCAUAAUCGCUAGGUCAUGGGUUCGAGUCCCGUCACCGCUACCA
rnacentral:tRNA from 1 species